rnacentral:rRNA from 1 species
CCGCGUGUAUGAAGAAGGCCUUCGGGUUGUAAAGUACUUUCAGCGGGGAGGAAGGGAGUAAAGUUAAUACCUUUGCUCAUUGACGUUACCCGCAGAAGAAGCACCGGCUAACUCCGUGCCAGCAGCCGCGGUAAU